AUAUCAUCACACAAAACAAGU
rnacentral:snRNA from 1 species